GGUAGUGAGACCUUGGGAAUGAAGUUGCCUAAAUACAUAUUUGAACAGAGUAGCUUGCUUCCUGGUGAUCUUGGACAACUUAACUUCUCUGUGCCACAGUUUCCUAUAAAAUAAGAAUAAGAGAGUUGCUUCCUCAUGACUGUGGUAAAUCUUGAGUCUUACUGAUUUCAUCUCUAAAAAAAUCUAAAUAUAACCUCUAAAAGGGAAACUCUAAAACUUCAUAGUUGUAGCUAAUUAACACAUAAAGUUCAAACAAGUAGCACGCAGCGGAGACCAGUUAGCUGCAGACACCUGUGAAACUUCCUGUCCUGCACGGACUCUAAGCUGUCACUACCGUCACUUCUGAAAUCAAAGGCAAGCUAAGGAAUAGAGCUUUAAACCUUGGCCUUGUCUGGAAGAAGAGCGUGUUCCCUUUACCACCUGGGGAAAGUGUGUACCUA